rnacentral:lncRNA from 1 species
CACCAUCUCUCUCUCUCUCUCUAGUCUCUUGUAAAGACUUCUGCCUCUUCCCUUUCUCAAACGAGUCCCUUCAUCUUCUCCGACGACCUUCUCCAACGGAGACCAUGGAUUCCUCACCCCCUUCCACCAUUAGACCAUGGGGUUUUAAGGUUCUGAAGCAUAACCUUGAUGGUUCUCUUUCAGAAUUUCUCAGAUCUUCAUUUCUAUGGCUACUCCGUCCUGUACCGGCGUACCCAAGGCGUUAGAAUCCUUUUUUGACCUCUUCGACUCAGGAUCAAACCUUCUACCAAUGUCUUUCUCGCUUAUAGGUUUAUCCGAAACCUUAAGUUGUUCGAGAUUUUUUCUCUAUUUAUUUUCUUAGAUCUAUGGCAUAUUUUUGUUCUAC